rnacentral:rRNA from 1 species
GACGAACGCUGGCGGCGUGCCUAAUACAUGCAAGUAGAACGCUGAAGGAGGAGCUUGCUUCUCUGGAUGAGUUGCGAACGGGUGAGUAACGCGUAGGUAACCUGCCUGGUAGCGGGGGAUAACUAUUGGAAACGAUAGCUAAUACCGCAUAAGAGUAGAUGUUGCAUGACAUUUACUUAAAAGGUGCAAUUGCAUCACUACCAGAUGGACCUGCGUUGUAUUAGCUAGUUGGUGAGGUAACGGCUCACCAAGGCAACGAUACAUAGCCGACCUGAGAGGGUGAGCGGCCACACUGGGACUGAGACACGGCCCAGACUCCUACGGGAGGCGGCAGUAGUGAUUCUUCGGCAAUGGACGGAAGUCUGACCGAGCAACGCCGCGUGAGUGAAGAAGGGUUUCGGAUCGUAAAGCUCUGUUGUAAGAGAAGAACGAGUGUGAGAGUGGAAAGUUCACACUGUGACGGUAUCUUACCAGAAAGGGACGGCUAACUACGUG